rnacentral:tRNA from 2 species
GGAGGUGUCGCCUAGUGGCCCAUGGCACAGGUUUGCUAAACCUGCGGGUGGUAAAACACCCACGUGGGUUCAAAUCCCACCACCUCCG